UGCGGGAUCGUCUAAGGGUAGGACAUCGCGCUCUGGACGCGAGAAUUGGGGUUCGAGUCCCUGUCCCGCAG
rnacentral:tRNA from 1 species